GGCUGGUCCGAUGGUAGUGAUUUAUCAGAACUUAUUAACAUUAGUGUCACUAAAGUUGGUAUACAACCCCCUACUGCUAAAUUUGACUGGCUUUUA
rnacentral:Y_RNA from 1 species